rfam:Canis lupus familiaris chromosome 6, whole genome shotgun sequence.
GGGGGGAGGCCGGAUCUUGGGCUGUGUCCCGGCGCCCUGUGCUCCCGAGCCUGCGCUGUUGGAUUCACGCUCCCGGUGGCACAGCCCCCU